rnacentral:rRNA from 1 species
CAGUCGCCGCGGUAAAACGUAGGUCCCGAGCGUUGUCCGGAUUUAUUGGGCGUAAAGCAAGCGCAGGCGGUUAGAUAAGUCUGAAGUUAAAGGCUGUGGCUUAACCAUAGUACGCUCUGGAAACUGUUUAACUUGAGUGCAGAAGGGGAGAGUGGAAUUCCAUGUGUAGCGGUGAAAUGCGUAGAUAUAUGGAGGAACACCGGUGGCGAAAGCGGCUCUCUGGUCUGUAACUGACGCUGAGGCUCGAAAGCGUGGGGAGCAAACAGGAUUAGAGACCCCAGUAGUCCCUGUCUCUUAUACA